UGUGGCUUGGCUCAGUGGUUGAGUGCCCCUGAGUUCAAUCCCUGGUACCAAUAGAUAAAUUAAUAAAAUAAUUAAUUUUUUAAAAAUUUAAAAAUAAGUUAUAAAAAGGGCUGGGGACGUAGCUCAGUGGUGAGUGCCCUUGGGUUCAAUCCCCAGAACUGUAA
rnacentral:tRNA from 1 species